rnacentral:pre_miRNA from 1 species
GAUCAAGGCCCUCCGUAUAAUGUAAAUGUCCAAAGGUUUGCAUAAUACGGAGGGUUCUGAUC